rnacentral:rRNA from 1 species
GACGAACGCUGGCGGCGUGCCUAAUACAUGCAAGUCGAACGCAGUGGGGACAGGUGAGUAACACGGGGGUAACCUCCACAUCAGAGGGGAUAACACUUGGACACAGGUGCUAAACCGAUAUUGAUGGAGUGCCACGCGGUGCAUUAGGUAGAUGGGGAGGUAAAGGCUCACCAAGGCCAAGAGGCAUAGCCGACCGGAGGUGGGGGUCGGCCACACGGGGACGGAGACACUGCCCAGACUCGUGCGGUAGGCAGCAGUGGGAAAUCUUCGGCAAUGUACGAAGGUCUGACCGAGCAACGCCGCGUGAGGGAAGAAGGUUUUCGGAUCGUAAAACUCUGGUGUUAGAUAAGCGGUAUCUAACCAGAAAGCCACGGCUAACUACGUGCCAGCAGCCGCGGUAAUUC